UGUUACCUGGAUAAAUCAUAAAUGGGCCGAGUUAGAUAUGUCAAGGCCCAUUAAGGACAAAGCCCAUGGUCCAAGGUCUAUAUGUAUGGAUAAGAGUGUAGAGCAGGAAAAGAACAAAAAGAAGAGAAUAAAAAGAGAGAUUUAAUUAUGUUAAAGAUAAAGAAGCAAUAAUAAUAAUGGAAACAGUGAGACAGUCUGGAUUUUGGUAUUAUAAUAAUUUUCUCAAUUCCCAAAUUGUAACUAAGCUUUUUGCAGAGUCCAAGCAGCUUUGUGUCAUUGUUGUCUUAUGAUAAUAAAACUCUUUGCUUUUAAUGACAAGCAAAUAUUGAUAAAAGUACUAAUAAUAAUUCAAAAAUCAAGUAAUUUGCAGAAUUUAUAUUGCAAUAGUCUAAGUAGUUAAAUAAUAUUAGAGUUUUGAUAAUUGGACAAAGAUUAAUUUAAUGUUUUAAAUGGUUCUUGGGGUGUUCCUAUGGAUCUAAUUGUUUAAUAUUUGAGCUCUUUUUUGUACUGUAAAAAAAUAACUAAAGCUACUUAACUAAAGGACUUAAAAACAAGACCCCA